rnacentral:tRNA from 1 species
GGGGAUAUAGCUCAGUUGGCAAAGUGCUUGCCUUGUACGCACAAGGCCCUGGGUUCAAUCCCCAGCAUCACAA